rnacentral:rRNA from 1 species
UACGAAGGGGGCUAGCGUUGCUCGGAAUUACUGGGCGUAAAGGGCGCGUAGGCGGGUCGUUUAGUUAGAGGUGAAAGCCCAGGGCUCAACCCUGGAACUGCCUUUAAUACUGGCGACCUAGAGUAUGACAGAGGUGUGUGGAACUCCGAGUGUAGAGGUGAAAUUCGUAGAUAUUCGGAAGAACACCAGUGGCGAAGGCGACACACUGGGUCAUUACUGACGCUUGAGGCGA